UCCAGGACAAAGGUGGGAAGUGGACGAUGAGCAGUUCUUGAACCUGAAAUUCUUAGAAUUAUCCAGUUCAGAAAUUGAAGAAUGGAAUGUCUCCGCUGAAUCAUUUACCUGCCUUCAGCAGCUUGUCGUAGGAGAUUUUUCCAGACUUAAGGAGAUCCCUUCAAUUUUUGGCCAAAUUUCUACCUUGACAAUCAUUCGCUUACAUGGCUGCAGCAACCAAGUCGAGUUCUGCCUUGCAAAUCCUCAAAGAUCAACAGGAUAUGGGAAACGAGGAACUUGAAGUACUAACCACAUACUCCACAUACUGAUGGAAGUUCUUGGACCUAAACAUUAUACUGCCUUCAAGCUGGUGAGCUCCCAUCUAAGCGAACUCGUAGCUGUUAUGCUGCUGGUCUUCCAUCAAAGUGAACUCCCAUAUGCCCGUGGUCGACGAGUUCGACGAACUUUCAACUUUUAAGCUCAAACUCGACUUGUGUAAAAUAUAAGGUGCUGGAGAUCGAGAUCGAGGUCAAGCUCGCUCAAAAAGCAAAUUGAGAUUGAGAUCAAGCUUGAGCUCAAGUGGUCCUUGAGGGAUAAAUAUUUGGAGCUGAAGGUCAAGCUUUCUUCAUAUAUAUGCCCUGGUCUCAAUUAUGAAGGUCUACUCAAUACUGUUGGUUUUCCAGAUCCUGACAUGGUUUUGCAUUUAUCAAGAACACUACUUCUAUUGUUCUAAGAUAGUGUCUCAUCUAAACAAGAGCUCAAGCUUCAUGUAGCAUUGACGAUUCCUAACCAAAUUGGUUAUAGUGAUGUUGCAAGCUAACCUUGUUCAGUGACUGAAUUAACUCUUGUAUCUAUAUUCUGUUGUAGCUCUGUACAAUGAAGAAAUACAUCCAUUACCUUUCAAUGGAUAUUCUGAGCUGCGCCGGGGGGUGUCAGUAGUUUCUAUUUA